ensembl:lncRNA
AUGGUGUCUGGUGUGGAAUGCAUUAAAUUUGGAGUGACUGAACAAUUAAUCAUGUGCUUGAAUCGGUAUCCCAACAAUUAUGCAAAAGACAUCACUGAGCUUGAGAUUUCCCUCAAUGUAGAUGGACUGCCACUCUUUAAGAGCACUGGUAAAUCUUUCUGGCCUGUACUCUGCACAGUACAUCUAAAACCAGCAAGCACAUUUCCUUUGACCAUUGCCCUUACUGAGGCCAAGCCCAAAUCACUGGACUUCAUUAAAGUCAUAUCAGAUGAACUGAAAAUGAUUCUAAUGAAUGGCUUUGCAUGGGGAGAAACAACACUCAAUGUAAGAUUGAGAUGCAUUACCUGUGAUGCACCAGCAAAAGCCAUGCUGAAGUGCAUCAAACAAUUCUCAGGUUACUAUGGCUGUGACAAAUGCACCCAAAAAGGCAACUGGGAGGGGCGCAUCACGUACCAACAAGUGCAUGACCUCACUUUGAGGAAUGAUGUCUCAUUUAGAGAGCAACACCAGCCAGAACAUCAUCACGAAAAUGCUUUGUCCCCUUUCAGCAAUCUCCAAAUUGACAUGAUCAAGUCUUUCCCUGCUGACUACAUGCACCAGUGCUGUCUGGGAGUGAUGAGAAAAAUGCUCCUACUAUGGUCACAGGGCAAGUCGGGGCAUCGGCUAUCGCCAGCUCAGCUGAGGGAGGUCAAUCAGAGGCUAAGGAAUUUGAGAAGUGACAUACCCCAUAUUUUUGCCAGGAAGCCACGCAGUCUGGAGGAUUUGGAGAGAUGGAAGGCCACUGAAUUCAGGCAGUUUAUGCUCUACACUGGCAAAGUUGUUCUCCGGGGAAUCCUGCCAGAAUCCCUGUACAGUCAUUUCAUGGCCUUUAGUGUGGCUUUGUGUAUACUAGUGUCUCCACAUUUAACACAAACCCACAAUGUGUAUGCCCAUGAGCUCCUCACAUAUUUUGUAGAACAAGGCCGGUACAUAUAUGGGAAAGAAUUCCUAGUGUACAAUGUGCACUCACUGCUUCACCUCACUGCUGAUGCCACCACAUAUGGAUCAUUAGACAAAUGCAGUGCCUUUGCGUUUGAGAGCUACAUGCACCAGCUGAAGAAGAUGGUUAGAUGA